UGUGGGUUAUAUCAAUCACUCACUGGAGGAGUGUUGAAGUUAACUAAAGGAGCCAAAAAUGAGCUGCUGUGGCCAGAGGCUGUACUGAAGAACAGCAUGAACUUCAGAGGGAAAGCAGUCAUUUUCGGUUUCUUCUACUGAGUUACAUACAAGGCAUAAGAAGACCUGCAAUGUAUGCUUUUUUCCCUUUGUGGCCUGACAUCCUCCUCCGGUGCCCUCAUGGGAGUACUCACAAUAAGAACAGUUCAUUUGACUAUAAUGUGUCUGCCUGAAGUUGUUAAGAAUUUGAUAUCUUCAUUGGAGGAUUCAGAGACUAUUGCAUUCCAUUUGGGAUUCAGCCUGUCUAGAGACAAUCCUGGUUUUAGAAUCCAAGUCCCUUUUUUUUUUUAUUUUCUCCCUUCCUGUGUUCUGUGUACCCUACAACAUGGCCUGCUUUAGAAUUGCUACCACAGUCAAGCUUGGUGACUCUCAUCUGCAAUCUUAGCACCUUGGACACUGAACCAGGAGGACUGCCAAUGGUUCCACAGGAUCCUCAGCGACAUAAAACUACAGACAACUUCACAGGCAGAAACAACUACUCACUUGAAAUGGAAGCAAGAAAGACUGUUAAUGCAACGAUGUGGAUGCCAGCUGGGAGACAAAGGAGGAUGGGUUACAUGACAGAGUCCCAGAAAACUGCCAUGAGAAUGAAAAUGGAAUGAACAGCUCUACUCAGAGUGAAAAUCACAGCGGCAUCCAUGGAAGAGGAGAUACU